rnacentral:misc_RNA from 1 species
AACAUUAUUGUUCAUCAGGAAUUUAUAGCGAGAAUCAUGGAUGGGAUUAGAGACUCGCCGUUUGCGGUGGCGGAACCACAUAAUCCACCACAAUUACACUCUCCAAAUACUCCCUGACCUUCUCUUUCUGCAAUUCCACCAUUUCUUGGUCUGAAGCCGCUGCCUCCAACUCAUUCGGCCCAGGGAAAAUUGCAAUCGAAGCAAUUGAGAACCCCUUGGCUCUGGCCGGGGAAAAGUUCUCGCCCACCGUCAGCUGGACAUUGGGCCCUAAUUUCUCCCUCAACCCUGCGAUG